rnacentral:rRNA from 1 species
CGACGGGCCCCGCACAAGCAGCGGAGCGUGUGGUUUAAUUCGAUGCUACACGAAGAACCUUACCAGGGUUUGACAUACAAGUAGUAGGGAAAGGAAACUGGACCGACCCUUCGGGGAGCUUGAACAGGUGCUGCAUGGCUGUCGUCAGCUCGUGUCGUGAGAUGUUCGGUUAAGUCCGCUAACGAGCGCAACCCUCGCUGUGUGUUACAAGUGUCACACGGAACUGCCGGUCAUAAACCGGAGGAAGGUGGGGAUGACGUCAAGUCAGCAUGGCCUUUAUAUCCUGGGCUACACACACGCUACAAUGGGAAGGGACAAUAGGUUGCGAAGCCGCGAGGCGGAGCCAAUCCGGCAAAACUUCCCUCAGUUCAGAUUGCAGGCUGCAACUCGCCUGCAUGAAGUUGGAGUUGCUAGUAAACGCAGGUCAGCCAUACUGCGUUGAAUACGUUCCCGGGGCUU